rnacentral:ncRNA from 1 species
AAGAACGAAAGACGAUCAGAUACCGUCGUAGUUCCGACCAUAAACGAUGCCAACUAGCGAUCCGGCGUCUUUAUUCCCAUGACCCGUCGGGCAGCGUCCGGGAAACCAAAGUCUUUGC